CCCACACGUGCUCCAUCUUUGGAAGCUUCCACACCUGGCUCUUACACGAACACUGCUGGGACCUGAAGGUCAGGUGGCCAGGCGCUGCCCCUCUGCCCCGGGGCCUUCUUGGGGCCACAGGGGAACCUGCCACCUGCUCCCCACCCCCGGGAAAGGACGCCACAGGGGCCCGUCACUCAGGACACAGACAUGGCGGCCCUCGACACUAACUGCGCGCACAGAGAUGGCUUUAUUCAGUUGCCCACAGGACACCUCGCAACCCCCGGCCAGGCCCCCACCUGGCAUCCCCUCCCGCCCGGCCUCCAGGAGGGGUGGGACAUCUGGCCCUCAGGGGAGGGGCCUUCCUGGGGGCCCGUGGUGCCUGGCCGGUGGCCCCCGGCUGCAGAGUCUACCAUUUUUGAGGAUUUGUGCUUCAACUUGACGCGGGGGGCUGCGGUCAGCCGGCAUCCUGGGCCACCGACGGGCAGCAACCUCCCACGCUCAGGGGGGCUCCCACCACCCCCAGACCCCGGAUCAGCCAGGGCGCCCGGCCAGGUGAGGCGGCCACCGGGGCCUUCCCGCUGGUCACAGGCUGCUGGCAGGGCAGGGCCGGUGCCUCCAACUGACCCAGGGACCCUCUGGGGGCUUAAGGCCGAUGCGGGCAGGGCCGGCGGGGCCCCCGAGGGUGUUCCUGGGACCGAGGUGGGGAUGGUGGGCACCCCCCUCACCAAGGCACUCAGGCCGGAUCCUGACACCCCUGCUCCCUGGGAAAUGCUCGGCCAGAGACACGCCCGGGACAGGAAGGCAGAGCAGCCGUGGCCCCAGCCAGGUCCGGCCGGGCAGCAUGAGAGCCUGCAGCCCCGAGAGCCAGGCGUCACUGUCCCUGGGAACAGGGGGAAACUGAGGCACGGAGGUUGGCCAAUGCGGAGCUGUCUUGGAGCCCCGGCCUUGAAAGUCCGGCCACGCACACGCUGGCCACAAGUGUCCUCCGGUGCUGGCAGCUGAGCCCCAGGCCGGGCGGCCAACUGCGGGGAGCAAGGCUUCCAGAGGCGCGGCCUGUGCUCCCGUCUGCGCGGCCAGCGGAGGCCAGGCAGGGCCCACAUCCACCGGUCUGCACCUCGGUCAGGGAAGGACACACCUGUGCCAUCUGCCUUCGGCUGCGCUCCGAGCGCCCCGGCUUUGCCCAGCGGGGCAGGUCCCAGGACCCCAGACGUCCUCCAGCCCCACAGCCACUGCGCCAGCUGGUCUGGGACCGCCUGCCAGCGGCACCUGCUCUAGACAUGCUCCAUCUCCUGGUCCUGGUCGGGCUCCUCCUCCUCCUCGUCCUCCUCCUCGUCGUCCUCCUCGUCGGCGCCCCCCUUGUCCAGUGGCGCCUCCCCGUCCCGGGCCAGCUCCUCCACGUGGGCCAGCAUGUCGGCCAUCAGCGCCUCCUCCAGCCGCUUGCGGACCUGCUGCACCAGCUCCUCCUGCUUCCUGGGGACGCAGGUCACCGCUCAGGCCACAGCCUUGUCUCCAGGGAGACCGGGCCACGAGGCCAGAGGGAGGGACACAGAUGCACGCAGCCGGUCACCUUGGGGCCACUCUCAGGAGCCCGAGUGAGUGGCCCUCUGCCGCGGCCUCCGGUCUGACGUCCCUGCCAGGCCAAGACCGGGGACUCCGCAUCCUGGGACACCCCACGGAUCCCCUGAGCCAGCCGGCUCACCUCUGCCGCUG
rnacentral:lncRNA from 1 species